rnacentral:rRNA from 1 species
UACGUAGGGUGCAAGCGUUGCCCGGAUUUAUUGGGCGUAAAGGGCGCGCAGGCGGCCCGGCGCGUCCGCGGUGAAAGCUCCCGGCUCAACUGGGAGAGGUCCGCGGAAACGGUCGGGCUGGAGCAAGGUAGGGGGUCGUGGAAUUCCCGGUGUAGUGGUGGAAUGCGUAGAGAUCGGGAGGAACACCAGUGGCGAAGGCGGCGACCUGGACCUUUUGCUGACGCUGAGGCGCGAAAGCGUGGGGAGCGAUCCGG